rnacentral:rRNA from 1 species
AGAGUUUGAUCAUGGCUCAGAUUGAACGCUGGCGGCAGGCCUAACACAUGCAAGUCGAGCGGUAGCACAGAGAGCUUGCUCUCGGGUGACGAGCGGCGGACGGGUGAGUAAUGUCUGGGAAACUGCCUGAUGGAGGGGGAUAACUACUGGAAACGGUAGCUAAUACCGCAUAAUGUCGCAAGACCAAAGUGGGGGACCUUCGGGCCUCAUGCCAUCAGAUGUGCCCAGAUGGGAUUAGCUAGUAGGUGGGGUAACGGCUCACCUAGGCGACGAUCCCUAGCUGGUCUGAGAGGAUGACCAGCCACACUGGAACUGAGACACGGUCCAGACUCCUACGGGAGGCAGCAGUGGGGAAUAUUGCACAAUGGGCGCAAGCCUGAUGCAGCCAUGCCGCGUGUGUGAAGAAGGCCUUCGGGUUGUAAAGCACUUUCAGCGGGGAGGAAGGCGUUAAGGUUAAUAACCUUGUCGAUUGACGUUACCCGCAGAAGAAGCACCGGCUAACUCCGUGCCAGCAGCCGCGGUAAUACGGAGGGUGCAAGCGUUAAUCGGAAUUACUGGGCGUAAAGCGCACGCAGGCGGUCUGUCAAGUCGGAUGUGAAAUCCCCGGGCUUAACCUGGGAACUGCAUUCGAAACUGGCAGGCUAGAGUCUUGUAGAGGGGGGUAGAAUUCCAGGUGUAGCGGUGAAAUGCGUAGAGAUCUGGAGGAAUACCGGUGGCGAAGGCGGCCCCCUGGACAAAGACUGACGCUCAGGUGCGAAAGCGUGGGGAGCAAACAGGAUUAGAUACCCUGGUAGUCCACGCCGUAAACGAUGUCGAUUUGGAGGUUGUGCCCUUGAGGCGUGGCUUCCGGAGCUAACGCGUUAAAUCGACCGCCUGGGGAGUACGGCCGCAAGGUUAAAACUCAAAUGAAUUGACGGGGGCCCGCACAAGCGGUGGAGCAUGUGGUUUAAUUCGAUGCAACGCGAAGAACCUUACCUGGUCUUGACAUCCACAGAACUUUCCAGAGAUGGAUUGGUGCCUUCGGGAACUGUGAGACAGGUGCUGCAUGGCUGUCGUCAGCUCGUGUUGUGAAAUGUUGGGUUAAGUCCCGCAACGAGCGCAACCCUUAUCCUUUGUUGCCAGCGGUCCGGCCGGGAACUCAAAGGAGACUGCCAGUGAUAAACUGGAGGAAGGUGGGGAUGACGUCAAGUCAUCAUGGCCCUUACGACCAGGGCUACACACGUGCUACAAUGGCAUAUACAAAGAGAAGCGACCUCGCGAGAGCAAGCGGACCUCAUAAAGUAUGUCGUAGUCCGGAUUGGAGUCUGCAACUCGACUCCAUGAAGUCGGAAUCGCUAGUAAUCGUAGAUCAGAAUGCUACGGUGAAUACGUUCCCGGGCCUUGUACACACCGCCCGUCACACCAUGGGAGUGGGUUGCAAAAGAAGUAGGUAGCUUAACCUUCGGGAGGGCGCUUACCACUUUGUGAUUCAUGACUGGGGUGAAGUCGUAACAAGGUAACCGUAGGGGAACCUGCGGUUGGAUCACCU